GUGGAAUGACCAUUGUUAAUAGAGUAAGAAAUGAGCAUGUUAGAGCUAGUUUAAGAGUUGAGGACAUCCAGGAUAAGCAUAGAGAAAAUAUACUUGAUUGGCUAUGUCAUGUUGUAAGGAGAAAUGAUUCCCUUAUCAGAAUAAUGCAAAAUAUACAUCUAGAGAAGAUAAGAGGUAAAGAAAGGCAAAGAAGUGCUGGGAAUUUGCUAUUAGGACAGACCCAAAGAAGCUGGGAAUUAAUGAGGAUUUAGCAAGUGAUAGGUCAGAAUGAAGGACUGUAAUAUCCCAUCCCAACCCCUUUCAGAAAAAAGGAAAUGAUGAUAAAUUUAAUAGGAAUUGCUAAUCGUUGAGAAAUAUACAAUUCUGGACU
rnacentral:lncRNA from 1 species